UACAGAGGUGGCGAGCGUUAUUCGGAAUUAUUGGGCGUAAAGGGCGCGUAGGUGGCUUGGCAAGUCAAAGGUGAAAUCCCUCGGCUCAACUGAGGAACUGCCUUUGAAACUGCCUCGCUCGAGGCCGGGAGAGGGUAGCGGAAUUCCCAGUGUAGCGGUGAAAUGCGUAGAUACUGGGAGGAACACCGGUGGCGAAGGCGGCUACCUGGACCGGUUCUGACACUGAGGCGCGAAAGCGUGGGGAGCAAACAGG
rnacentral:rRNA from 1 species